GUAUGGCUCUCGGAACCAAAAUAAUGAUUGCUCUUGAGGAAAUCGACUACGAAGUCUUGAAUCUGUGGUCAAUAUGUAUUCAGCUGGCAGUUCAUCCACAAGCACAGGAUUGCGGGUCUUGUUAUUUAGAAAAGCUCUCUUGAAUGGCAAAUGGUCUUCAAACCCUUUCUUUACAAGAGGCCAUAAAUCACUGACAUCUUCAACGGCAAUGACGACGUGAUCGCAAGUAGUUUUAAUACUUUGAAACUGAGCUAAGAAGUUCGCCAUUACCGAUCUGCAGAAAACAUAUGUGUUGAACUGAGAUCGGCAAUUCCCGGAGACGAAGAUCCUCUUUACGAUUCG
rnacentral:misc_RNA from 1 species